UUAUACUCCACCCAGAGGUAAUUUCCAUCUAAUUUUAACUACAUGCAUCUGCUUGUGCUUUUCACUUGCUGGACUACACUUUUCUUGUUGCCUUAAGGUCCGGAUAUAUACAUAUUAGGGCAUAUACAAUAUAUUAUAAGACUUCGAUAAAUCGUGCUUUUUAAGUAUUUAGGGUCUUAGGGAGACUUGCAAUGAAGGUAUUGAAUAAUAUCCAGUAGGUUGCCCUGGUGUAUAAACCUUUUUUCUAGUUUUCUCAAUGAUAAUAACUACUCAUAUGUUUUAUUUAUUACAAAGUACUUCUCUUCUCCAACAUUAGUCAUAACUUAAUCCCAAAAACUUUGUAAAAGUCUACAUAUUUUGAUAUUCCUUUCCUCCCUCUUGCGUAUACUCCACAUAAUUAGUAAAAAAGAGAGAGAAAGAGUAAAGAAUGGCAUGCGCAUCGGUAGCAGCAGUGGCACCAUUAGUUGUAGGAAACAUCAUGAAAAUGGCGGCCACAACAACACAAGCAUAUCUUGAAAGCAAGCCAGUUCAAGAGUCAAAGGCCUUACUCACUGAACUCUGCCGCCAAUUCUAUCAUCUUGGUUGGGUUGGGUUGGGGGCACAAGUGGCAGCAUCACUAUCAAAGUUCACGAUGAUUGCAUCCCUAAAACCCAGCAACUCAUUGUUAUGCCCCCUUCUGGUAGUCUCUCUUUCUUUACAACAAUAACAAAGAAUUAAGAUGAUUCGGGGUCUGCUAACAUGAAUCAUCAUAAGAAAUCGUUUUGUCGCAAAUGAAAGAAUAUUAAUGAAGGGAAUCUUUGUUUUGUAUGUCUGAUUGAUUAAUUUAUGUGGUUUCGUGAUGUGGGUACCUUUUUUUUUAAUUUGUUGAAUGUUAAUGGUUUAUGUAUUUGCAAGUUUUUUGAUUGAUCAUAUUGUGUGACUUUGUAGGUUGGCUAUAGUUACUCUUUGCUUUCAUCUGGGUGUGUUUUUUUUUUGUUAUGCAAGUGUUUGAUUGUAAUCUGAAUUGGUAAAGCUUCUAGCUUGAAUUUUGGUUUUUGAGUGUUGUUUGUGUUUCAAUUAAUGGUGAGUGGUGCUUGUUCUGCCAAUUUUUGCUGCUUUUUGUUUGGGAUGUAUUCUACAGUUUUCUGAUAUUGACUGCACUUUUAUUUUUCUAUUGUUAAUGAUCUUACUGAGCUUUUGUAUUAUUUCUGAUCCAUCUGAACUUUUGCUGUGAGUAGGGGUCCAGAAGGAAAGAAUGCUUUCAGAAGAUAUGUAUGUGUAGGCUUUGACUCAGUCAAACUGGCGUAGAUAGAGUUUUAACCAAAAGUCUGAGGGUUCGGUUAUAUUUAUAGGCUUAUAGCUCUAGUUGAGACUAGAAUCACCUUGGUUACACUUAUAUUCAGAAGCUAGGAAAAGGAAAUCUUUUAUGGAAAAACUUUAUGUGCUUUUUGUAAGUUGAAUCUUACUCAUUAAUAUAUAACGCGAAAUAAUUUUGAGCAGCUCUGCAUCAGUUUCACAAAUGAGAAACUGCAGCAGCAUUUCAAACAGGUGGAAUUGGCAAGACGGAUUGAGAAAACAGGUGAUUCUGCUCUUGCUGUCCAUGGAAGAUUAUGAUAAAGGCUUCUGAGACACUUAUACCGGUGACACUUGAGCUUGGUGGGAAAGAUGCAUUUAUUGUGUGUGAAGAUGUAGAUGUGGAACAUGUUGCCCAGGUUGCUGUUAGGGCUUCUCUUUAAUCAAGUGGACAGAAUUGCGCAGGGGCUGAGAGAUUUUAUGUUCAUCGUGAUAUUUACAAUGCUUUUGUCGCUCAGGUGGUGAAGAUUAUGAAAUCUGUUACAGCGGUGGUGAAGAUUGUGAAAUCUGUUACAGCGGGCCCACCUCUGGCAGGGAAAUAUGAUAUGGGAGCCAUUUGUAUGCAAGACCAUGCAGAAAAACUUCAAAGCCUUGUAACUGAUGCCUUGGACAAAGGAGCAGAAAUUGCUGGUCGUGGGCGACUCGGGAAUUUGGGUACUGAUGUUGUUGAUCAGUUUUUUCCACCUACAUUCAUAGUUAACGUGAACCACUCCAUGCAAAUUAUGCAAGAAGAGGUAAUUCGUGCAUAUAUCAUGCCAAGAUCAGGAUCAGAUGAUAUUUGAAAUUAGUAAACUUCAUCACGAACAUAAGCUUUGAUAAAGCAUGUGAUUUACUCGUGAGGUUUGAUCACGCAUGUGUAGAUGUUGAUAGUUUACUGAUAGUGAAGAGAGUUCUUAAACGAAAUUUAUGUUAAUUCUGCACUAAUUUACCGCAUGCUCAUUCGUCAAUGGGUAAUCAGCUCAUUGUAUAGUGAUUAUGCAAUCUUGUUGAUAUUGAAUUCAAGCCAACCAAUUGUUGACUGUAAAUCCAUGGGUUCCAGGCAGCAUGCUUGUUGAUAAGUUAAGAGACUGAUAUGAUUAUGUUGGGAUAUGUUUGAUGAAUGUUAUCUUGAGAU